rnacentral:misc_RNA from 1 species
GAUGAAGAACGUAGCGAAAUGCGAUAAGUAGUGUGAAUUGCAGACUUUAGUGAAUCAUCGAAUCUUUGAACGCACAUUGCGCCCCUUGGUAUUCCGAGGGGCAUGCCUGUUCGAGCGUCAUUAUAACCCUCAAGCUCAGCUUGGUGUUGGGGCCUGCUGCACUGGCAGCCCUUAAAAUCAGUGGCGGCGCCAUCUGGCUCUAAGCGUAGUAAUUCUUCUCGCUAUGGAGUCCUGGUGGAUGCUUGCCAUCAACCCCCAAUUUUUCUAUGGUUGACCUCGGAUCAGGUAGGGAUACCCGCUGAACUUAAGCAUAUCAAUAAGCGGAGGA